GCUGCUACGCGCUAGUGGCCAGAGCGCAGACCGGUUCGGCAGAGCACGCGAUAAAUUCGAUCAUUUCUAGGGCGCCGGACCCGUGCCGGAUCGAUGGGGCUAACGUGCGAGUAGCUGUAAGUUCCAGCAGUUUGUUCGACUCGCAGGGACACGCUCGGGACACCGGGUAAACGCCAAGCCGGAUGUGGUGGCAUCCAGCUACUCCCUCCGUUGUCACAAUACUGUCUCCCCUGUAUUCGUUUUAUAUUCAUAUAAUAA
rnacentral:lncRNA from 1 species